UACGUAGGGUGCAAGCGUUGUCCGGAAUUAUUGGGCGUAAAGAGCUCGUAGGCGGUCAGUCGCGUCAUGCUGUGAAAACUCGGGGCUUAACUCCGGGCCUGCAGGAUGGGUACGGGCUGACUAGAGUGCGGUAGGGGAGACUGGAAUUCCUGGUGUAGCGGUGAAAUGCGCAGAUAUCAGGAGGAACACCGGUGGCGAAAGGCGGGUCUCUGGGCCGUAACUGACGCUGAGGAGCGAAAGCGUGGGGAGCGAACAGG
rnacentral:rRNA from 1 species